rnacentral:rRNA from 1 species
ACUUAAAUUGAAGAGUUUGAUCAUGGCUCAGAUUGAACGCUGGCGGCAGGCCUAACACAUGCAAGUCGAGCGGUAGCACAGAGAGCUUGCUCUCGGGUGACGAGCGGCGGACGGGUGAGUAAUGUCUGGGAAACUGCCUGAUGGAGGGGGAUAACUACUGGAAACGGUAGCUAAUACCGCAUAAUGUCGCAAGACCAAAGUGGGGGACCUUCGGGCCUCAUGCCAUCAGAUGUGCCCAGAUGGGAUUAGCUAGUAGGUGGGG